rnacentral:rRNA from 1 species
CCUACGGGAGGCAGCAGUGGGGAAUAUUGGACAAUGGGCGAAAGCCUGAUCCAGCAAUGCCGCGUGAGUGAUGAAGGCCUUAGGGUUGUAAAGCUCUUUUACCAGGGAUGAUAAUGACAGUACCUGGAGAAUAAGCUCCGGCUAACUCCGUGCCAGCAGCCGCGGUAAUACGGAGGGAGCUAGCGUUGUUCGGAAUUACUGGGCGUAAAGCGUACGUAGGCGGUUAUUCAAGUCAGAGGUGAAAGCCUGGAGCUCAACUCCAGAACUGCCUUUGAAACUAGAUAGCUAGAAUCUUGGAGAGGUGAGUGGAAUUCCGAGUGUAGAGGUGAAAUUCGUAGAUAUUCGGAAGAACACCAGUGGCGAAGGCGACUCACUGGACAAGUAUUGACGCUGAGGUACGAAAGCGUGGGGAGCAAACAGGAUUAGAUACCCUGGUAGUCCACGCCGUAAACGAUGAUAACUAGCUGUUCGGGCUCUACGAGCUUGAGUGGCGCNGCUACGACAUAAGUUAGUUCCGUCCGUCGGGUAGGUACGGUCGGCGAGAAGUUAAACGUUAACGUAAAGUUAAAGUUAGUACGGCGUUGAGACGUUGCCGACGGACGACGACGAGGGGAGGUUAGG